AAUCAACACUCCACUCAGACAAUGCCCAGACCUCCAGAAACCAUGUGUCAAGCUCGGAUUGCCUUAGACAGGUGCAAUUUAAGAACAGCUUUCAUCCUCUUUUCUCUCAUAUUGUCACACUAUGUGUUCUGACUUCUGGCUCCUUUCCUCACAAGAAGCUCACCCAGCUGGAACUCUUAUGGGACCUUGGCACCAGAGACCACAAAUUCCUCUUUGAAGUUUUCUAACAGCAACAAUGGUAUUUCUGACUUGGCUUUCUUGUAUUUCUCUCACGUUAACAAAAUUGGUUCAGCAUCUACCAUGGGCUACAUGCUGAGCUACAGACAGAGUUUCGCUCUGUCGCCCAGGCUGGAGUGCAGUGGCGCGCGAUCUCGGUUCACUGCAAGCUCCACCUCCCGGGUUCACGCCAUUCUCCUGCCUCAGCCUCCUGAGUAGCUGGGACUACAGGCGCCCGCCACCACACCCAGGAAUCCAACUUGCUGUUUGCUAUCACAUGUGCUAUACAUGCUGUUGAUGAAACUGCUAAAGGGGCUGAAUGUGACUGACGUCUUUGGAAGGAUGAGACUUAGCGUGCCUGUACAGUUGUGUCCAAAUGCUGUCCUCAUCUCCCAAUGAAAAGGUAUUGUAAAUAAAGAGAAAGAUCAGA
ensembl:lncRNA LUCAT1 lung cancer associated transcript 1